AAGUCGAACGCAGCAGCUUCGGCUGGCUGCGUGGCGAACGGCUGAGGAACACGUGGGUGACCUGCCCCAGAGUGGGGGAUACCCCGUCGAAAGACGGGAUAAUCCCGCAUACGCUCUACGGAGGAAAGCCCCUACGGGCGCUCUGGGAGGGGCCUGCGGCCCAUCAGGUUGUUGGUGUGGUAACGGCGCACCAAGCCACUGACGGGUACCCGGUCUGAGAGGACGGCCGGGCAGACUGGGACUGCGACACGGCCCAGACUCCUACGGGAGGCAGCAGCAAGGAAUUUUCCCCAAUGGGCGCAAGCCUGAGGGAGCAACGCCGCGUGGAGGACGACGGCCUUCGGGUUGUAAACUCCUUUCGGGUGGGACGAC
rnacentral:rRNA from 1 species